AAUAACUAAUUAAUAAUAAUCUAGGAUAAUAUCUUAUAAGCUAUUACAAGCAAGCUCAUAGUUAGUUUGACUGACAAGUAACUAACAAGUUGACUAGGAGACUAGCGGACUCGAAAGCUGAUAAACACAUACUCGUGAGCUCGUGAGCAAGCUGGCAGGCUAGUGAAGCUGAAGGUGACUAACUAGUAUAAUAGAAAAUGGAUGAAGACUCAUACAUGAGUUAAACAUAAAUAGACCAUUAGCCUGUUGUAUCAGGUACAUAAUUCCUUUGAUUCGAUCUUGAGUAAAUAGACCUUGUUGACUAUCACAAAUCACCAUAUUCCUUAUUCUUGGUGCUUUCUUAUUAAACAUGCACAUUAUUGGUAGAAUUAACAUUUUGAACCUGAAAUUAGGUGGAAACCCGUGCUUUUUAUAACAAAUGCCAACAAUGUGACCAAGUUUUCCACGAUGAGUGCAGGUCUUGGAAUUUCUCUUUCUUUUCCAAAAACCUUUCUUUGUGUCAACAACAUUAACAUAAGUUUGAGAUUAUGUGCUUUCAUUAGAUCCUCCAUUAUGUCUUUUUUGUUGAAGAACUAAAGAAAUGACUCUAUUGAGGUUGUGGAGACACAAUUACAUGGUGGUAUAGGGUGAAAGUUAUCCAAUUCUUCCUACAAAACAGUUAAGGCUUUGUUGUCACUAUCUUUAAAAGCAAAACCAUGAAUUGAUUGUGAAACUGAUGACUCAUUCAAGAACCAAAUUGUUGCGUUGCAGCUAGUACUUGUGAGUUGGCUCAAAAUCCCAUGGCAUAGGUAAAGAUCCAUCAAGAAAUUCCAUUUAUUCUUCCCCACCAUUACACUGGUCAUCGAACAAACCCAAGAUUUGUAAUUGGUUCCAUUAAAAAUUGGGGUAAUAGUGACAAAAGAAGGAUCCUCACUUUAAUGAAUGCAAUAUUUAUUGUUGGUGUUUUGUUCGAUGAUACCAUAUUAUGAAGCAAUAUGUAACUAUUUUAUUGUAUAUAC